rnacentral:rRNA from 1 species
CCUACGGGAGGCAGCAGUGGGGAAUAUUGCGCAAUGGGCGAAAGCCUGACGCAGCGACGCCGCGUGAGGGAUGAAGGUCUUCGGAUCGUAAACCUCUGUCAGCAGGGAAGAACGGUCACUGUGCUAAUCAGCAGUGAAUUGACGGUACCUGGGGAGGAAGCUCCGACUAACUACGUGCCAGCAGCCGCGGUAAUACGUAGGGAGCAAGCGUUGUGCGGAAUUACUGGGUGUAAAGGGAGCGUAGGCGGGGAUGCAAGUUGGGUGUAAAAAAUACCGGAUCAACCGAUAGUCGCACUCAAAACUGCAGCUCUUGAGUGAAGUAGAGGCAGGCGGAAUUCCUAGUGUAGCGGUGAAAUGCGUAGAUAUUAGGAGGAACACCAGUGGCGAAGGCGGCCUGCUGGGCUUUUACUGACGCUGAGGCUCGAAGUGUGGGGAGCAAACAGGAUUAGAUACCCGGGUAGUC